rnacentral:rRNA from 1 species
GAUGAGCGCUGGCGGCGUGCCUAAUACAUGCAAGUCGAGCGAACAGACGGGGAGCUUGCUCCUCUGACGUUAGCGGCGGACGGGUGAGUAACACGUGGAUAACCUACCUAUAAGACUGGGAUAACUUCGGGAAACCGGAGCUAAUACCGGAUAAUAUAUUGAACCGCAUGGUUCAAUAGUGAAAGACGGUUUUGCUGUCACUUAUAGAUGGAUCCGCGCCGCAUUAGCUAGUUGGUAAGGUAACGGCUUACCAAGGCAACGAUGCGUAGCCGACCUGAGAGGGUGAUCGGCCACACUGGAACUGAGACACGGUCCAGACUCCUACGGGAGGCAGCAGUAGGGAAUCUUCCGCAAUGGGCGAAAGCUUGACGGAGCAACGCCGCGUGAGUGAUGAAGGCCUUCGGAUCGUAAAACUCUGUUAUUAGGGAAGAACAAAUGUGUAAGUAACUAUGCACGUCUUGACGGUACCUAAUCAGAAAGCCACGGCUAACUACGUG